rnacentral:lncRNA from 1 species
GUACAUCUAUCCAUAAGACUACAUGGAACUGAACCAAAGGUAAGGAUCUGAACCAAGAAUAGCAGCGUAGACAAAAGCAAGAUUAAACAUCAUUCUUCAGUCCUCAAGGGUACAUGCAUUCUCCUUCCUGACUUCGGCUUCCUGCUCUGGUGUGUAGUGUUCUCUAAAAUCAGCUACUUCUUACACUUCCCCACUAAGUGAAUAGUAACAAUUUUAAGAGGAUAAACCACACAGAGAAUUGGUUCCUAAUUAGAGCAGCUAAAGAAGCAAGUAGCUAACAUUAGUACAUAGAGUCUUGGAAGUGGGCUACAAUAUCAUGGCAAAAUGACAGGAGUACAUCAUUGCUUGUGGUUAGCAUAGUUCUCUCAAAAUUUUCAUGGCUAGUUUGCUACUACUUCCAAUUUUGUCUGUAUUGUAUUAAAUAAGACCCAUCAAAGCAUACCACAAAUGGUUUUCUGUGCAAAAUAAAUAGACCAAAAAAUGAAUGAAACAAAAUAAAUACAUAGCCCCUUACGCAUAUAUGCAGAUGAAAGCUUCCAACAAUGAAAUAAUUCCUAGUUUAACCGAAAGGCAUUAGCAUAGGUGAGAACAAAUAUUUUCAGUGAGCUCUAACAAGAACAAAUGGCAGGACCAAGAACAACCUCCAACCGAGGAGAUGACGAGCCAGCAGAGCAAUAGACGAAGACCAAAGAGCAGGUGAGAGGACAAAAGCAACCUGCGGCAGACAAAACAAAUGCCUUAGGAGGGUGAAACACGAACGAAAAGAGUGUAUAAUCAGCAAACUACAUAGACAAUAGACUAAUUAUGCUUGCAAGCAGUAUAAAUAUAAUUA